CGUUAAUAGAUGAAAUUUGGAGCUCAUUGAUUUAUUGCUUUCUUUUACAGUGAUGGUUGUUUUGAAAUUGGGUUUAGGAGAAAGGUGAUUAAAGAUGGUCUGCAACUAUGGUUGCAGGUUGCGUUGCUCACAUGGCAGUCUAAAAGUUGGAGGAUGGGUUGGAAAAUUCAUCAAGGCUACGGCUAUGGAAGAUAUGAUGGGAUUUGUUUGCCUAGAGAUAAAAAUUGCAGAAGGAAUAGAGAACUAUUUUGGCCACAGAGCUCAAUUUCAAGGCCGUGGAAAUUACAGAAGAUGUUCCAUUAAAAUCCUACUUGGUGAAAAGUGACACAGUGAAAAAUAUCAUAUUACAUGUAGUAGAGAGAGUCCCUCCCUAAAGACUUCUGUGAUAGAAGAAUGAUUUUCUUCUCCGGUUAACAGUUUACUUGUUUUAUUAAUAAAAAUCUUAAAAACAUCAUUUAGAUGAUGCUUGGAGCAUCUUUAUCUGCUUAAUCCAAUGUUUUCUACGUACGGUAAACUGUCCAUCUUGUG